UACGUAGGGUGCAAGCGUUGUCCGGAUUUACUGGGCGUAAAGGACUCGGAGGCGGUUUGUCGCGUCGGUCGUGGAAAUGCGCAGCGUAACUGGGCACGGUCGGCUGAUACGGGCAGACUCGAGGGCGGUAGGGGCAAGCGGAAUUCCUGGUGUAGCGGUGAAAUGCGCAGAUAUCAGGAGGAACACCGAUGGCGAAGGCAGCUUGCUGGGCCGUUCCUGACGCUGAGGAGCGAAAGCAUGGGUAGCGAACAGG
rnacentral:misc_RNA from 1 species